UACGUAGGGUGCGAGCGUUGUCCGGAAUUACUGGGCGUAAAGAGCUCGUAGGUGGUUUGUCGCGUUGUUCGUGAAAACUCACAACUCAAUUGUGGGCGUGCGGGCGAUACGGGCAGACUGGAGUACUGCAGGGGAGACUGGAAUUCCUGGUGUAGCGGUGGAAUGCGCAGAUAUCAGGAGGAACACCGGUGGCGAAGGCGAGUCCCUGGACAACACCUGACACUGAGGCACGAAAGCCGGGGGAGCAAACAGG
rnacentral:rRNA from 1 species